rnacentral:rRNA from 1 species
UACGUAGGUGGCAAGCGUUGUCCGGAUUUACUGGGCGUAAAGGAUGCGUAGGCGGACAUUUAAGUCAGAUGUGAAAUACCCGAGCUUAACUUGGGUGCUGCAUUUGAAACUGGGUGUCUAGAGUGCAGGAGAGGUAAGUGGAAUUCCUAGUGUAGCGGUGAAAUGCGUAGAGAUUAGGAAGAACACCAGUGGCGAAGGCGACUUACUGGACUGUAACUGACGCUGAGGCAUGAAAGCGUGGGGAGCAAAUGGG